GGUCGCGUGGCCUAAUGGAUAAGUGCAUCGCCCUCCGGUUUUACGCCAGGGAUUCAGGCGGGGAUUGUGGGUUCGAGUCCCAUCGUGAUCG
rnacentral:tRNA from 1 species